rnacentral:pre_miRNA from 1 species
CCCACACCCAUGUGUGUAGGACCUUAAAGAAUCACCAUUAUAUUUGGCACAUAUCUCUAGAAAAGUUAUUACAUGGUGUGGGACUUGACUUUUCUAGAGAUAUGUGUCAAAUUUAAUAGUGAUCUUUUGGGGUCCUAAAUACAUGGGUGUGAG